rnacentral:lncRNA from 1 species
GUCCAGCUCAGCCAAGGACUGAAGGGCACAUCUGCCUAAUUCAGGACUGGGGUAUUGGGAAGUCCACUUGGCCCCCGAUCUGUGACAUGUUCUCGAGUCCUGAGACUUGAGGACUCAGGUGUCUAAUUUCUCAGUUGGGCCACAUCUUGGGGUUAUUUGCGUGCCCCAGCUUUAACAGUAAGAUUUCCAAGCACUGAUUUCUUCUUAAGCAAUUUCUGAAGGUAAAAUUUUGGUUAAGAGCACUCUUUUCUUCCUGCUACCGUUAAUUGGGUGUUUAUUUUGUGUCAGGCACUGUUCAGUAUUUUACAUUUCUUAGCUGGUUUGAUCUUUACAGCAACUUUAUAUGACAGACAUUGUUUCCCCAUUUUUCAGGCUAGAAAUCUGAGGCCCAGUGUCCCACAGUGGUCCUGUAGUGGCACUAGGCUUAGAGCACAGAUUGUUGACUUCCAAAGCCGAUGUUCUUGACCAUUGCACCACUCUGCGUUGUGACAGUGCCAAACAUGCUUUCAUUCAUAUAUAUUUUUUAACUGAUCAUGUUCUUGUGUAAUUUCUUUCAGAAAGGCUUUUACAUCAAAUAUUGAUAAUGGUAAUAAUAAUUAACACAUGUUAAGAACUUACCAGGUUUCAAGCACUGCUCUAGAGCUUUCCAUGAAAGAACCCCUCUAAUCUGUGAGAACCGGCUGAAGUUUACUUUUUGGUACUCCAGAGACCUAGCUUCUUCUUGCCUUCUUCCAGUGUGGUCUAUUUAAUCUCCUGUCGUGUGGGAAAUUAUGUUCAAAAUCUCCGUGAUCCUCUGUCCAUAGACUUGUCUAUUGAGAAACAGCAACGCUGGCAACCAUUUACUACCAACAAGAGGCAGUUCCAAGAGAAGAAUAUAAAAUAUGCUCUGCUCAACCCCACGAAACUCAGAGUGUCUCACAAUGGCCAAUUUAUUAUUUUUACCCUGUCCAGUGACAUGGAAGGAUGCAUCAGGGAGCUGCUAGCCUCUGCGAUGAAUAACUUAAGUCAGGCUGCAACAUGUGAAAUAAUUCAGCUGACCAGGAUUUAUAACACUAGCUGGAUUUUUUGCUUUCUUUGGGGUUCAUGAAGCAUGGUGUUGUGAGAUACCACAGGAGUCCUGGAGUGAAGUUACAUGCCUAUUUCUCUUCCUUUAUUUUUUGGUAUUUUCAUAUUAUUUUAUUGCCUACUCCAAAUGUCUUCCUAAGCAGGGUCCAGCCUCCUAGGGGACACGUCUCUUCUGAUUUUGAAAAUUAGA